UGCCAGCCGCCGCGGUAAUACGGAGGAUCCAAGCGUUAUCCGGAAUCAUUGGGUUUAAAGGGUCCGUAGGCGGUUUGGUAAGUCAGUGGUGAAAGCCCAUCGCUCAACGGUGGAACGGCCAUUGAUACUGCCAGACUUGAAUUAUUAGGAAGUAACUAGAAUAUGUAGUGUAGCGGUGAAAUGCUUAGAGAUUACAUGGAAUACCAAUUGCGAAGGCAGGUUACUACUAAUGGAUUGACGCUGAUGGACGAAAGCGUGGGUAGCGAACAGGAUUAGAUACCCUGGUAGUCCACGCCGUAAACGAUGGAUACUAGCUGUUGGGGGCAACUUCAGUGGCUAAGCGAAAGUGAUAAGUAUCCCACCUGGGGAGUACGUUCGCAAGAAUGAAACUCAAAGGAAUUGGCGG
rnacentral:rRNA from 1 species